UACGUAGGGACCAAGCGUUGUUCGGAUUUACUGGGCGUAAAGCGCGUGUAGGCGGCUUUGCAAGUCGGGUGUGAAAGCCCUCAGCUCAACUGAGGAAGUGCGCCCGAAACUGCAGAGCUUGAGUACCGGAGAGGAUGGCGGAAUUCCCCAAGUAGAGGUGAAAUUCGUAGAUAUGGGGAGGAACACCGGUGGCGAAGGCGGCCAUCUGGACCACAACUGACGCUGAGGCGCGAAAGCGUGGGGAGCAAACAGG
rnacentral:rRNA from 1 species